UAUUAGGUGUUUUAAUGUCUAUUCCUUUGCAAAAUUAAUGUUACUUGCUAUUUCCUUAAAUAAAUUAUUUUUUGGAAUACUUACAGCCAAAGCUUUGUAAGUCCAAUCAUGGACACUAGAUGGCACCAUAAGAACCGCUCCUGCACAAGUUCCUGACAGUCCAACAGCUCUUUCUCACCAUCUACAGCCUGAAGAUUUUUAGCAGAGUCUAGGGUGAAGAAAACUUAGAAAAAUUUUCUUCCUUUUCUGUGUAGAGUCUAUAAGUUUUCUUUCUAAGAGGUUGAUCCCCUACUGUGAAUAGUACGCAGAGGAAAAAGGCUCUCAUGGCAAGCGACAGCCAGCAUGGAUCAAGUCAAGAGAGUUGGUCUCAGUCAAUGCUGAUGCGUAACAGCUGGUUUUUGCAGAGAAAGUCUAUUCCCCGCCCUGGAUGCAUCUCAUCAAAUUGCUGGGAGGACCAUACAGAGUCGUGUAUGAGAACUGCCAUGUGCUGCAAUUAAAAACUGAGGUUCUUUCUACCUCUGCAGCCCUCCUUUUCCUGGGAGGCUCCUGUCUUGCACCAGCUCUUGGCCUCUGGUACCCUGGCCCCUGUCUACAUUCUUUUUCAGCUGCAAGAUCCCUCUCAAACAUGUGUAAAGGACUCUGACAUCAGAUCUAUUUUUCAGCUUUCACUCAGCUGAAACUCGCACUUCUUAGUGUCCCUCACACUAGUGGUGUUCAGCUUCUCUUCAGUAGUCCUAUAGCCACACCAUGGACCUUGUCAUCAUCUGCGCAUGAACCCCUUAAAAUUAUCAGCUUCACCUCCCAUUGUGUCAAAAGUCAUCCCUCCGUUCUUGUCCCCAUGUGCUCAUCCAUUUCAUUGUGAUUCCAGCUCCUCCACUUCUUUCUUCUCUCCCUGUUCACCAGCCCCCAACUCUCUACACCCAGAGCCCCUCUUUCUCUUCUUACCUAUGCUGUUUACUCUCCCACCAACACCUACGACUCCCUCACCCCUUAGUCCUCUGAUGCCUCCAGCCCUCAGGCCCCCGCGGGACCAGUGCAGCCCUUUGUUUGAGGCAAAGCAGAGCAUCGCGUGGAAGAGCACAGGUGUAGAAGUGAAUUAUUACUCUGACAAUAAACUGCUGUGUAACCCUGCGCACAUUACCGAUCCCUCUGAGCAUGAGCACUGGGUAUUUUAGGGGGAUGAAAACAUCUACUCGCAGGAGAAUUGAGAGGUAGUAGGUAAAAAGAGAUUUUUAAAAACACGUUUUUUAUGCUUUUGUCUUUUUCAUCUUCCACAUAUGUGACCUCCCCCUGUGAUGCAGAGGUAGCUCUCUGGAGGGCAAGUGGAUGAAUGGGUAGACUAGGAUUAUUAGAGUAAAGUGCAAAUAAGAGCCAGGGUGUAGUUUACUUCUAAAACAUGUAACUGAGAUAUAAAACUAAAGGAAAGUAGGGCUUAGCGAUUAUGCCAAAAUAUAGUUUGGAAAUAAAACGGGAGAACCCGGUAUACUCCCCUCCUAUUUCCCCACCACAACCAGAGAGGAUCAUGAGGGCCACGGAGGAGGAGCCUGAACUGGAGGAGGAGCCUCAAAGGAAACGGGCAGGGAGGGCAGAGGAGCCGGGGUUGCCCCUGUACGACCAGGCCACCCAAGAUGACUUUUCUCUUGCUCUCUGUGCAUCCCCUGCUCGACCAGUCCCUGCCUCACCUACACCUACUCACCUGACUGACCUUCCCUCUUCAGUAAAUGCCUCUGUACCUGCCCCGGGCCCCAACUAGUGACCGUUCUAAUCAUCAGAUCAGAGCAUCUCCGCCUUGCUAGCUCAUCAAAGGGGCGGUGAGGGGCGUGCUCCUCUGCCAGUUUCCCUGGUAACAGAGGAGGCAACCUGACAUCAAUCCCCCCUGUAACUGGUAACCUCUCCCUCUCCCUGGUGGUAACGAUGGCCGGCCGCCACCUCCUGCCUUCCUGCCUGCUGCCUGCUGCCGUGGUGGGGAGUCACUCCAGGACCUCAGGUCACACGGUUUUGAGAUAUGAAUGACAUACAGACUGUACAAGUUGAACAUGUCCAGCAUGAGGAUUUGACUCACACUCAUCACGAAAUGAUUAUCACGAGAGCAGGAGGAAGAACAUUCCCUUAACUGAAACAAAUAAUGGGAAAACGUCCAUGAGGGGAAGAUAUAUUUUUAGCUCAGGACUAUGAGAGUUAUAAGAUUUUUCAACUCAGGUUAAGGGAGUCAUAAAUGUGUCUGCUUGGAAUCACAUACUGAAAGUUCCAUUCACGCAGUCUUCGCCCCCGUUGUCAGUUUGCACCAGCUGCCUCUCAUCACCUAGCCCUGAGGUCCUUCCCAUGAAGUUGGUCCAACAGAGAAGCGAGCACCCAAAGGAAGUCCACGUGCAUGCUGAGUGGUGGACAAAAGCCGAGACUUGAAGAGAGUGGUAUUUUCUCCAGAGAGAAUGGGUAGGAAUAGAACUUGAACGUCCCACAUGUGGUCCACUCAUCCCUGCUAGCUUUGAACCACAUUCGUUCCACGCUGAGCUCUUGUCCGGUGCAGGCAUGGCAGGCACUUCUGGCUGUUCUGCAGGGCCUUCUGGUCCAGAGCUGGUUGAAUAUGAUAAACAUCACAGAUUGAUAUGUCACAGAGUUACAGGCUGCCCAUCCCUAUGAAAAAGUUCUUCCUUUCAAGCCUGGAUUGAUGUGGAAAUCACUGCACUGCGUAAGGAGAUGCAAGGCCAGUGGGAACAUACACAUGCCAGGUCCACAGGUUAGAGGUCUGACACAGGUUCCACUGGGCCAAAAUCAAAGCGUCGGCAGGGCCGCGUUCCUCUCUGGAGGCUCUAGGGGUGACUUCCCUCGCCUUCUCUAGCUUCCGGAGGCCGCCUACACUCUUUGGCCAUGGCUCCUUCCUGUAUCUGCUUGACAAGGUUGGACAGCACUGCUGUGAAGAUUUACCAAGAUUGGUCUGAUGGAAAGUUCUAAAAAUCCUCAAAAUAUCUUACGUCAAGGUGCUUGAUCCCUUCAAGGACAGAAGUCUCCGCCGCAUGUGCAGAUGUGUUAACAGGCCUGGCCAGGAGAGAGCUGAAAAGGGUACAACGCUCAGGUGUCCUGAAAUUACAGGCCUAGUUUACCCAAGUCUUCAAAGGCACCAGCUCUAGGGGAAAGGCCCGAAGGCGAUGUCUAGCAGCUGUCUGUUUCUGCAUUAGAGCCACAGUUGUUCCUGGCACCACGUUUGGUAAAGCAGAAUGGAACACAUGCUUCCUGAUUUUUACACACAAAUUCUCCAUCCACCACGAGCUGUAUAAACAGACACACCUUCCUCAUCAGCUUGGCAUGGGGUGUCUCUCCUUUCCAUUCUCUUGCACAAUAACUGAGUAAAUCAACUUCCGCCUCCACGCUGAGGUUCCCUGAACCAAAUCAAAAAUACGAGGUGGUGAAUUUUCCCUUUCCUGUCGCUUCCUGAACCCUCUCUGCACCUUAAAAAUAAGGAAACAUAUGCAUGAAAAUACUUACUUUUGAAUCUUCUCUGCAGAUAUCCAAUCCGCCUAAAAGAUGAAAGGAACAAUAAUAUCAAAAUUCUAUAUUGAACAGCAAGGGCAUGUUUGAAAUUUAAAGAUGACAUAGCCACAUACCUUUUCA